UGCGGUUAUGGCGGAAUUGGCAGACGCGCCAGAUUUAGGUUCUGGUGGGAGACCGUGCAGGUUCAAGUCCUGUUAACCGCAU
rnacentral:tRNA from 3 species